GACGAACGCUGGCGGCGUGCUUAAUACAUGCAAGUCGAGCGAAAAGGCCAGGCGCUUGUGGGGUUCUCGUUUGGCGAACGGGGGAGUAACACGCGAGUAAAAUCCACCUGACAGAGUGAUAACAUUUGGGAAAAGCGGCGAUAACACCGGAGAAUAUCUUGAAGCAUAUUGUUGGAAAGAGAAAGACGGUCGUGGUGGCACGUAUAGAUGGAUACGGGCUGGAUUAGCUGGUUGGUAAGGUAACGGCUUACCAAGGGAACUAUGCAUAGCCGACGUGAGAGGGUGAUCGGCCACACGGGAACGGGGACACGGUCCAUGCGCCUACGAGACGCAGCAGUAGGGAAUCUUCCGCAAUAGGCGAGAGCCUGACGCAGCAACGCCGCGUGAGUGAUGAAGGUCUUCGGAUCGUAAAGCUCUGUUAUGAGUGAAGAACAUAUGUGUAAGUAACUGUGCACAGCGUGACGGUAACUAAUCAGAAAGCCACGGCUAACUACGUG
rnacentral:rRNA from 1 species